GGGGCUUCUCUUUUCUUUUGGACAAUCUCUUAUGUAAUGGCCAUCCUCAUUACAGUUAAAACAUCUGAGAUUCUUCAUCUUGGUCGUAUGGUCUCUAUACACGUGCUUAUUAUUGCCAUGCACUACUGUCAUAAUCUUGUGGUGCAUUAUACUUUGCCAUUUCUGUUUGAAUAACUUUCUCUAGUGACUGGGCGAUGGACUAUGUGAUGGAGUCUUUCAUCCCUCUUUCAAAUUGUGUAAGCCUCUCCUCAGUUACAUAUCUUUUCCCACCAACUUUCCUUAUUUC
rnacentral:lncRNA from 1 species